ensembl:lncRNA
GUUCACAGUCUAGUAUUUUCUAAAUAACUUUAAAGUACAUAUAUGCUCAUAUAUAUAAACAAGCCAACUCUUGUAGAGAGCAAGCAACAUAUCAAGUGACAGCAAGUUUUGUCAUGAAGAAUUUUGACUGUUCCCAUGAGAAAGCUGGCUAUAUGGACUCCUAUUCUUCAUUAUAAGCUCCAACAAUCUCCUCUGCAAUAUAUUUAAUCAUUUUCAACCAUAUGCCAGAAAUUCAGGAGUUGUGAGCCACAUUCCUUUCAUGCAAGCUUGAAUACAGCCACUGAGGAAUAAACUUUGGGCAUCAGAAGGAAGAAAACAAAAGUGACAGUGCACAAAGCUAAAUAUUGCUGCUUGGAUAAGAAGCAUUUGCUCUGGAUUGUGUUUGGAGUUUUCAGGGACUGAGCGAUACUCCCGGGAGUCUUGCACCCUGGACAACAUUCAGUUAGCUGACCUGGAGUAUGCACUUCCCUAACCUCUGCUCAAUGAACCAAAGACUACUGGCCUGAGGAUGACACUAACAACAUGUGCCUAGCAAUGCAAUUGGAGGUGACGGUAGAAAGCAUGCCAAAUUCUCUGCUUUGACAUUUCAAUACAUCUCAGUGUGACAUCGGCCCACAGCUCUGCUGUCCCAACGCCUCAACACGCAGCUGAUCUCACCGGUGCACUCCCCUCACCUUGUGAACACAGCAUUCUGCCAGCUGAGCCUUCCUUUCAUUUGGACAGAGACGUGCUGGGACAGCAACCAAUUUAAAAUGACUCUUCCUGACUGCAACAGAUGAUGAAAGAUUAAGAGGGAAGCAGGAUGUGCCUGAAAACACCUUGAAAAAUGACACCAGAGCCACCACCAAUGUACACAUUUACUGUGAAAUGACAGCUUGACUCACCCACCUUGCAGCUCUUCUAUGGUUUAAGAAACAUGGAAAGAAAGAGUAAAAUGAGUUCUUCAGCUAUGCAGAACGAAUAUGAAGAGAGACAGUUCCCAUACCUUAUCAUCUGGUUUGAAUCACAGAACCGUAGAAUCAUUAAGGUUGAAAAAGACCACUAGUCCAACUGUUGAUCCCUCCCCACUGUGCCCACAUGUUCCAGAUAGCAUUCUAGAAUUAUUAAGGUCAGAAGAGAUCGCUAAGAUGACCCAGUCCAACCUCAACCCAUCCCCACCAUGCCCACUAACCAUGUCCCCCCAGUGCCACAUCUCCA